GCAGGCUUGAGUUUGGACCUAUCAGAGGCCUGCUGCUGCUAUAUAAGCAGCACUCCCCAUGCAGUGGCAGCUGGUCCAGGAGGCCCCAUCCUGCUCACCGUCCCAGGCUGCAGCACAGGCCCUGUUCAGACGGGGCCCCCUCCAGGUCCUGUAAAUCUGGUUGUGAUCUAUUUCUCUGUAUCGUGGACUCAGAAAUCCUGUAAAUCUAUUCAGGGAAACCCUGAGUGAUGUGGCAGAGCGGUAGCUUUAGAAGAGCUGUGAACACCAGGGGCUGUCAGCCCUGAGGAGCCUGGAGAGCAGCAGCCCAUGCAGAUCAGCUGUGGAGCAGCAGACAGGAGAGCUGACCACGGCAGCGAGUGUCGACCGGAAGCGGCCAGCAGCCCACAGGACCGGUGCCCAGCAUCCACAGCAGAGUCGAGUGGGGAACCCAGGCCCAGAGCCCUGGUGCUCAGUGCUCAGGGCUGAGGGACAUCGGUGCUCAGAGCGCAGAGCCCAGAGAGCAUGCACAGCUGGGGACAGAGGCGGGGCCUCGCUCUCUGGCACUGCUGGUCUUUUUAGACUUUAUUCUCUGUGGCUGGUUCCUCCUCCUCUUGGGGUCGCCUUGUCACCUCCAAGCCUUCCAGCCUGGUUUACUUCCUGCUGCGCCCAGCUCACCAUCUCCUCCUCCAUGCUCCGGGAGUCUCAGUUCUCCCAGUCACCGUCUGGGCUGGUCCAGCAGCCUGCGUCUCUCAGCUCCGGGGGUCUGAGCCGCGGAUGGGCAGGAGGAGGCCCGGGCACACUGCUGCUGCCAGCCACUGCCAGGCUGAGAGGGCUGGUGGCCCCCACUGCCCCGGGGCCCGGGCCCAGCACUGCCCCGCCGUCAGGUUCUCUGCCGUUCCCUCUCCCACUUCUCCCGGCAAACCCAGCCAGAGGCGGAAUAACAAACCCUGACACAAAACGCCAGUGCGAGACUCCGGUCGGCCGGCGGCGAGGACCUGUGUGGACGCUGAGGACCUGGGCCAGGGACGGGCAGCCAACACCACACCUCCCAAGUCACACCCCAGCUGCCAGACGUCUUCAUCAGGACUCAGGCGAAUCUGGGGCCUCUCUGCCGUCUCCCCAGCAGCUCUGCGGAGGAGGGAGGGACCGCGUACCCGCUCUGUGACUCUUCCUCCGGAACACAACUCUUCUUGGGGCAGAAUGGACGCUAGGCCAGGUCAGCCUGUGGCCUUUCAGCCCAAAAGCUGUUUCCUCCCUUGCACCCAAGCACCCACCUCGGCUGUGACCCCGGCCAGCAGGGGUCCUGGGAGCCGCCACUGCCUUACUUGAAAGCCGGGGGUGGGGGGGAGGCAGCAGCUGGCGCGCUGGAGGAAGGACAUGGCAAGUGGAAGAUGAGCACUGUCACCGCCCUUAGGGGCUCAACCGCCGAGGUCACCUCAGGGACACCCAGUGGUACAAGUGUGUGACCAACCCCUUCACAGCCAACACUGGGGCUCCAGAGCUGAAACAUCCAAUGUGCAGCAAGAUUUCCCUUCAACUUCCUGAAGACAAGGAGCUGGGAUUUCUUCUCCAAUCACCGUGCCUCUGGGUAGAACAGUCUGCUGGCUGAGAGGCAGGGCAGGACAGCGCUUAGGAGCUGACUCGAGUCAGACGGGACUCCAGGCCUAUUUCAUCGCUCACCGCAGGCAGACUUGGGUUUAAAGUGGUGUCCACACCCUGAAGCCGGCGGCUGGUGUGUCUACAGCGCCGCCCACAGGCCACUGCCCAGCAUCUCUCCUGCUGGCGCCCGCCGCCCAGCUCAAGGCUCGGUCUUCCUGCCCACAGAGCCCUCCCUUCCUUCUCCUCGUCCCUGUGCCGCCCUGUGCGGGGCACCUCUCUAUCUGCCUGGCCCUGCGCCCUCUGCCUGCUGCGGCUGAUGCUCUGUAAACUGCUGAGCUGUGUGCAGCCCUGCACAGAGGCGGAGCAGCUUGGCCGCAGGCAGCAGGGACUUUGAGGCAUUGCUCUGGCGUCACCCGCGGACGCUGCUGACCAGCGAGCCCCGUGUCCCUCUCCGCAGGGCGUCCGUGCAGGGCUGCAGCCCCGUCUCCACAGCGCUGCGGGAGACAGUCCUGGCUCACUAAAUUAGGACAGGGAAGGACAUAAUCUCCCACUUCUGUUUCAUUUCAUCCCGGGAUAAGGCCGAAAGAGGCCGUGCAUUUCCCGGCCGGCCUGGUUUUCUUCUCAGUUGGUCUGCGUGUGUUUACCAAAUAGACGCCCCGGGCUCCCUAGCAACUCGCAGCAGGGCGAGCCCCUCCUGAUAGCCCGGAGACGGAUGAAUUGCUGAUGAGAAGGAUCCAUGAAGUUUUUAAUUGGUUUAGUUAGAUUAUUUCCAGUCAACAAUUCCUGAGUUUAGUGGUAGAAGAUAGAUCUGUUUUCCAUAAACGUUAAAUGCCAAACUUUUGAAUCACUCUGAGUAAAAACCUUUCCCUUACAGAGCUACUUGCUAUCAUUUGAUUUACAGCAAAAAAUAAAGGCUUGGUUAGAGAGUCUGGCCGCAGCAUGGCACGCAGCAGGGGCGGGAGAUACGAGCAACACCGGCUCGCGCUGGCACCGAGGACGAGCGCGGAGCCAGCUACCGCUCCGGGAAACAAAGAAAGGCGGCCUAACCGCCCUGGCUCCCUGGCUCUCUCCCCUCGCAGCGCUUUCUAGUUUGGAAAGGCUUCUCCGCCCAGUUGCGCGUGGGCCGGGAGACGGUCAGGUAAGACAAGUCACAGCCCAACAAUCCGAGUGUCGUCAGCUGGUGCCCGGCGCCCAUAGCACAGAGGGAGGAGUUAGACCCUGGAAGCGGGCACCGGCCCCAAGCAGCCUCAACACCGGCCAGCACCACCCUGUGCCCCUGCGGCCCACCAUCCCCAGGGCCUGGGGGAGGCAGGAAUCGAAAGCGGCCAGGCACCACCAGGGGGCAGCAGCCUGGUGGGCGCAUUGAAGACACCAGGCCUGCUGUCUCUUCCCUCAGGGAGUGCGCUGCCCUGGGGAGCUGUUGGGGUGGGGCUGCUCCGGUGACUCCUGGGGUUGCUCACUUCUCCUUCAAGCCAAGUAAAGAGGGGGAGCAGAGAUGACGCUCGCUGUGUGCUGUGGGGCCUGACUUUGCCAUCGCUGCAAGUUCCCAGCCAUCUCUGCACCCCGUUACCCUCUGCUCCAGUGGAGGACUCCAACCCUCCAAGCCCCAGCCACACCUCUGGGCAGCGGGUCACCCUGACACCACGUCGCCCACAGCUGGUGCCUGCGCCAGGCCCCUGAGCCCUUGGGACACGCCCCGCGCAGGGAGCCGACGGAGGCAAAGGGCCUCUGGGAGGUGCCCACCGCUGCUCUAUUCCCAUCUGAGGCAGAGCAGCAAAGGCAGAACGUCAGGGUCGGGCACAACAGUGUCUCCUCUUCCGACAGGUCGCUGGGGCCCUGGGGCAGCCAGCCUGGUGCUCCAGGAGGGCGCGCCAUGUGUGCAGCUGUGGUCCUGGGUCACAGUCCCCGCCGAGCACAGAGCGGGCCAGGAGGCCAGGCGGGAACCACCAAGGCCCGCGCCAACCCCGGGUGAGAGACUGGCCUUCCCUGAUGCGACAACAGCAGGCGAAGGCUGAGGGUGGGAGUCCUCGGCUGCUCGUCAUCAGCUGGGUCUAGGAAGCAGCGCGUUGUCAAA
rnacentral:lncRNA from 1 species